rnacentral:rRNA from 1 species
ACGUAGGUGGCAAGCGUUAUCCGGAUUUACUGGGCGUAAAGGGUCUGUAGGUGGUUGGGAGGGUCUGGUGUGAAAGCGCUCGGCUUAACUGAGCGAGGCCACUGGAAACCGCCCGACUGGAGUCGCGCAGAGGGCACUGGAAUUCCCGGUGUAGUGGUGGAAUGCGUAGAGAUCCGGAGGAACCCCAGUGGCGAAGGCGACCUGCUCGGCCUUGCCUGACGCUCAGACGCGAAAGCAUGGGGAGCGAACGG